rnacentral:lncRNA from 1 species
CGCCUUCAUGUGGCUUAAGGACCGGAGCCAGCUUCAGCCUAUAUUUCUGGUUGCACUGCAGUCAAGGAAGAAACAGAAAGUGCUGUGAGCAAGCGGUUGGGCUCAAGAGUUGCAGAUUUGCCAGUUGUAGUCAGAGGACUCACCUCGGGUUAAAGGUACUGCAUGAUGAUGAAUCCCCUGCAUCUUCGGUGGAAUGCUCCAGCAGGGCUGGAUGCGAUCAUCUUCUCAGUAAGACCUUUCUGGCUAAAAUUUAACCUGGAAGAGAGUGAAAUUGCAUUGGAAAAGCUUGCAGGAUUGGUCCGCAAGCUGUCUGGAGGGUAACAUCAGAUCAGAAAAAAGUAUUUCCAAAAGUGUUGCUGAU